CAGUCAAUACCACCCACACGGUUAAGCCCCUCCCUUGUUUGCACCGACUGGUCGUCCGGCCAAACCGAACACUUCGACGAAAACAUCCGAACCGGCGGCGCUCGUCGAGGACAGCAGCCGCGUCUGUGGCGUGUUUUUCAACGUUAAACAUGUCCGGGCCGGAAGACAAACACGUAUGAACGCGCUACCGCUCGUUAGAUAGGAGCCCGGUGGAGGAGGAGGCGGGUCGGAUUCCCCCUCUUCGCUGCUUCGGUAAGUUGGCGUCGUUCCCCCCGCGAUGGAGGCUGCUGACGGGACCCGCCACGACCACCGCAGUGUCGGCCACCAGACGUCGACGCCUCGUUGAGCCACGCAAUUAAAGCCCCCCUUCCCCCCCCCCCUCACCCCCUCCCAAAAAAUUGCACACACACACACACACCUGUCCCCGCUAACCGACAUCAUCCAGAACUUCUUGGUCGGGAUCAGCGAGAAAGCGACAGAGACGUUAACGGCUAAACGUUGCCCCCCCGCCCCGGAGCACGAUGACCAGCGUAGACGUGACUUAACGAGUUGUUCUCGAAAGUCGCAGUUUUGGGGAAGAGUGUCUUUUUUUUUUAUUUUUAUUUUAUUUUUUUUUUUAGCACAUACAGUCUUCCAUUCGACCACCAUGUCACUCAAAGAGAACCCCUGUCGGAAAUUCCAAGCCAACAUUUUCAACAAGAGCAAAUGUCAGAAUUGUUUUAAACCUCGAGAAUCUCACCUGCUCAACGACGAAGACCUCAGUCAGGCCAAACCUAUUUAUGGAGGAUGGUUGCUCCUCGCGCCAGAUGGAACCAAUUUUGACAAUCCCUUACACAGAUCGCGGAAAUGGCAAAGGAGAUUUUUCAUCCUUUACGAACAUGGCUUACUCCGCUACGCUCUGGAUGAAAUGCCCAGUACUCUUCCUCAGGGUACAAUCAAUAUGAACCACUGCUCCGAUGUCAUCGAUGGCGAGUCCAGGACCAGUCAGAAGAACUCCUUGUGCAUCCUAACCCCUGAAAAGGAGCACUUCAUUCGGGCUGAGUGUAAAGAAAUUAUUAACGGAUGGCAUGAGGCUCUGACCGUGUACCCCAGAACAAACAAGCAGAAUCAGAAGAAGAAGCGAAAAGUUGAUAGACCCACUCAACAGGGUGGAGUAACAACAAUCCAGUGUUUUUCCACAAAGGACAUGAAUGGACACCCAUGUCGUUGUGACCUUGCUUCCCAUUUUGUCCUCUCCUCCUCCUUCCCGCUCCUUCCAUCCCAAACCCCAAUCCAGGAACCGGGCCCCGCCAAGGUGACGGUGACUAGCAGCAGCAGCGCCGCCGGCGGCGGCGGCGGCGGCAGCAUCCCGUGUCUGCCUAGCAGCAUCGCCGGCGCCGAGCGUGUCCCGAUGAGCCGCGCCACUCUGUGGCAGGAGGAGAACCGCUGGAGUCGGGCCACCAUCCCCUGUAGCCGCAGCGCCUCGUGUCUCAGCCAACUGGGCCAGAGCCAACCGGACUCCUCUCUCACUACUCAAGAUGACGGUGGCAAUAUGAGCACUGGACGCAAAGUACGCGUGGAGAGCGGUUACUUUUCCCUGGAGAAAACAAAGUCGGAGCCCUCUCCAAAACCUGCACAGCAUUCCCAAGCACUGCAGCCACCCCAGCAUCUACCCCUGUCAUCAACGUCCUCCUGUUCUUUAGGAGCUCCCAGUCCCAGGUACAAUUCUGAACCCGAACCCCCAAUUUCCUCCAGUGCUCCCUCCCCAGGAGCCCUUGCGUCCCCUAGCUACUCCACCAUCAGCUCCUCCCAGAGCUCGCUGGACUCUGAACCCAGCGGCACUGCACCCACCUGGGAGGGCCGCAGUGGAGGUGGAGGGAACACCACUAGUGUGAAUAGUGCAGGAGGUAGAGUAGGUCAUACAGGCAGGCAGUAUGCAGCACUUUCGGAUGUGCCGCGAGCUCGCAGGAUCACCUACCGCGAAGCCUUUCAUUCUGAGAAAAAGCGACAAGAGCUCAGAGCGCGCGCACGGAGUCCCGGACGCGAAGAGGUGGCUCGGCUAUUUGGAGAGGAGCGGAGGCGUUCGCAAGUCAUCGGAAGAUUUGAGGAGGGUCCAAAUGUUGAGCGCAUGGACACGAGCAGCUCUAGUGAGCUGUCAACAAACGCCAGUAAUGUCCAGCGACAAGGCCGCAGUGAGAGACGCUAUCUGGCAGACAAACAUGACAUGUCAUCAUUGGAUGCAGGAAAAGACCGCGCAGUCCCGCAUGUGUCCACCUCCGCAAACUUAAGAAGAGCCAAAUCACUUGACCGCAGAGCCACAGAGUCCUCAAUGACUCCUGAUCUGCUGAACUUCAAAAAAGGAUGGAUGACCAAGCUGUACGAGGACGGAAUGUGGAAGAAACACUGGUUUGUCCUCACAGAUCAGAGUCUGCGGUACUACAAGGACUCAAUAGCUGAGGAGGCUUCAGAACUGGACGGUGAGGUCGAUCUUUCCACAUGUUAUGACGUCAAAGAGUUCCCCGUCCAGAGGAAUUACGGCUUCCAAAUCCUGUGUAAAGAAGGCGCGUGCACCCUGUCAGCCAUGACCUCGGGAAUCCGACGCAACUGGAUCCAGGCCAUCUUGAAGAACGCUCGACCCUCCAUCGCCCCCGAUGUCACUCGAUCUGUUGCAGAGGAGAAAAUAAAAACACAGGUGCUGCUGGAGCCCUGUCACCAGGUCAAGACUGAGCCAAGCCCCGGUUCUGAGCCCACCAAGACCGAUGCCCAGAGGCACCUCACCGGCAACGGGGCCGCCACCCCUCCCUCCGAGCCUCGGAAAAGCAGGGUUCGGGAACGCCGACGGGAGGGCCGCUCAAAGACUUAUGACUGGUCCGAGUUCAAAAUUGAAAAGGCAGACGAGCCGGCGAAGGAGCGAGCUGACACUGUUGACCUCAGCUCGUCACUUUCCACGACCGCACCCUGCUCCUCUAUUUCCUCCUCUCUUUCCUCGUCGUCAUCCUCGCCCGUCUCUACCUCUUCUGUGCAAACCCCCUGUGUAUCAGAAGCCCACCCCCCCUUGACAAUAGAAGAUAACAUUAGGGUGUGCACCCCAAGCCACUUGACAAAUACUGCUCUGGUUACAUCCACAUUGACCACAACAUCUCCCGUGCAUCCAUCGUUACCUGAACGUCAAGAGCAAGGACGGAUGGAAGUAGACCACCCUAUUGCCUCGCUCAAUGUCGAGGAAGAUAAAUUCAACGUAACUUCAGGCGUGAAGGAGGAGAUUGAGCAGCGGUGGCAUCAGGUGGAAACGACACCACUGAGGGAAGAGAAACAAGUGCCCAUCAGCACGGCUACGGAUAACUCCGGCGCUGAUAGACUGCCCGCACACGAGCUCGCUGCACUGCUCGACAAAGAGUUGGGACAGAAGCAAAAAGAGCUGGACCAACUUCAGAGACAGAACAGUAUGUUAAAGGAGCAGCUGGAAGAUGCGCUCGGAAGAGAACAUAGUGCCAGAGAUGGCUAUAUCCUGCAGAGUGCAACACCUCCUUCCUCUUCACCGCACAGAGUCCCAUGGCAACAUUUGCACAAGCUGAACCAAGACUUGCAGGGCGAAUUAGAGUCCCAAAAGCGCAAGCAAGACCUCGCCCAGCAGCAGAUUCAAAAACUGAAGAGAAGCUACACUGAAGCCCAGACGGCUGUGGACCGCCAUGAAGGUGAUAUCCAAGCUCUGCAGUGUAAGCUGGCAUGUGCGUUGGCUGAAAUCCUAGCAAGUGAACAAGCUGUGGUCCGUAUGCGCAAUGAACUCAAGCUGGAGCAAGACCGUUCAAAAGAGCAAGAGGAGGAAUACGGACGCAGUGAGGCCACCUUACGAGCCCAGCUAAAGGACAGUGAAACUAGACUUCGUGAGGUCGAGGCCAGCCUUUUAGAGAGAAACCAGGCACUUAGGCAUCUAGAGCACCAACAGGCCCUUCAGCGAGACCAUACGAGAGAGAUCCAGAGGUUACAGGAAAGACUGCAAGAGGUGACUGGGAGACUGCACGCUACAGAAGAAGGUCAGGCGCUGAAGAAGGAACGCCUGAAACAGGAGCAGCAUAGCAUUCAGGAGAGUCACGAAAGAGAGAGGCAAAAUCUGUGUCGAAGAAUAACUGAAGCUGAGACUGCACAGAAGGAAAUGGAGGACAGACUAUUAGAGGCCGAACAGCAGGUCGAGGCCCUGUUAAGAGGGAGGCAGGCCUCAGCAGGAAUGGAGCACAGUGAGGAAUUACUGAACUUGCAAGAGGAACUUGCUCAGAAGACCAACAUGUUGGAGUCACUGAGGGAAAGUGUGCGAAUCCUAGAAGAAGAAAAAGGUCUGCUCACAUGCCGUUGUCAUGAGCUCCAAAACCAGAUUGCAGAGGCAGACCGGGAGGUAAGCAAGCUUCACAAUCGCCUUGAAACAGAGGAGGCAGAUUAUUGCGCUCUGGAAAACUCUUAUGAGAGGGCCACCCAAGAGUUUCAGAGAAUGAGUCAAUUCCUCAGGGAGAAGGAGGAAGAGAUUCGUCAGACAAAGGAAAUGUACGAAAGGCUCAUGGAACGCAAGGAGGAGGACUUGAAAGAGGCUCUUGUUAAAAUGACUCUACUUGGCAACAGCUUGGAGGAAACUGAACAGAAGCUGCAAGCUAAGGAAGACCUUCUGUGUCGAAUGAGUCAAAGUCUGUUAUAUCAAGUUGAGCCCGGCAGUGCUGAACAAAAUCUAAAAGCCAAACUUGUGGUCGCAGAGAACCGCAUUGUAGAGCUUGAGCAGCACCUCAAUGCACUGCAGCUGGGCUAUGCUGAUCUGCACUUAAAGAGGAAACAAGUCCAAGAGCAGAGGAUCCGGGAACAUAUUAACACCUCAGCUGUUUUUACUUCCAAUGUUGAGUCCUCACUGUCAUUCGCCAAUGUCUCCAAAAGUGAGGACUCCACAGAUAAGGAUUCUCAAAUUAAGCGACCAAGAAUUCGUUUUGCCAAUAUUCAGUGCCAAAAAUAUAACAACCUGGAAUACCUGGACGAUUGCCAUACCUUCUAUGACGCAAGAGAAGAUGUUAACCAGAAAGACCUUGAUCUAGCUGAAGCAGUUUCCUCCCCUGAUACGCCGUUUCCACAUGCUAGUGACUCUGAGAAAUUUAUCUCCAUUGUACAUGCCCUAGAAACUAAACUGCUCGCUACUGAGGAAAAACUAAAAAAUCUCACUCGAAAUUUACAGGAACAGCGUUCCGCACAUGUUGAAGACAUGUCCAAGAAAGAGCUGAUGAUGGUUGAAAACCAGCCCUUAGAAUGUGACAGUGGGCCCCAGAUAACUGAUGUCAAUAAUCCUUAUGCCAAGGCCCUCCUUUGUGUGGAAUCAAGUCGAGAGAGAGUCAAGGCCAUUCUCUCUAGUUCUCUCGAUAACACUGAUUCACAGCUUCAGUCGUUGUCAGAGGUGGAAAAUGAGCUAUUUAGUGCAUCAGUGUAUAUCCGCCACGGACAAAAGACCUUUGAGGAACAAUCACCACAUCGUGCUCCGACUCAAAUGUCAGAACCGUUAGAUAAAGAAGCAAUUCAUCUCUUUGCCAAAACGCUUUCUUUUGAAGCCCUCGUGUUGAAUAAAAUGGCUAUGCUGGUGCAGACAUCAGAGUCUGACCUCCUCCAAACACUUUCUGCAAUAUGGGAAGAUAUAGAGAACGUGACACGCGACAAAGAUUGUUUAGCAGUAGUUUAUGCAGACGUCCUGACCAGAAAGUUAAUGUUGGAGAAUACAUUCUUGAAAAACCUGGAGAGAGAGGCGACACCAUGUGACGAUUCAAACAUCGCUGGAUCGCAAGCAGCCAGUAUAACAGCUGAUGCGGACAUAAAUACAUCGGCUAUUUUCAAUACCAUAAUCAAAGCAGAACUGUCCUACUCUAUUCAGAACUUAAAACUUGGCUACGAAGAGAAAUUCAGGCGUCUUGAAGCGGAGCUGGCCGAAGCCCACCACAAACUCCAGCAAAGGGAAGCGGCUUUGAAAGCAAUUAUCGACGCAUCCAAGAGGUCUGACUUGAAAAGUGUUAUAAAAGAAGUAAAAACGAACUUUGGCUUCAGUAAACAAAAGUUAGCAGAUAUAUGCCCACCUGAACUUGCUCCAUACAAGGAGCAGAUAGAAACGCAAGAAGCCCGGGACCUUGCGGAAAAAAUCGUCGAACGGCAUUUGGUUGAGAAAAUACCGUGUUGUGGGGUUGACUCCGUUGAGUCUCUUCAGACCGCACAUGACAGCCUGGCUACUGAACUUCGACAACAGGCAGCAAAGCUCCACAAGUAUGCCCAAGAAAUACAAAGCACUGGGAACCAUUCCGAACUGGCUAAAAUGAUCAUUGCACUUUUAGUGCCCCAGACGUCACAUAUGUACACAAGUACAUCUCUUUGUAUGCGGGAAGCCCUCAUCCAGGCUCAGGUGGCUUACGUGGCAUGUCGACUACGAUCGACGCAUGAGCGAAACUUGAGUUGGUGUAAGCAGACUCACCAGGGUAUGGAUGCUCUCGUGAAGCAGCAUGCCUGCAGCGUCAGGGCAAUUCAAGAGAAGUAUGAAGCGUCCUUUCAGGAGGAGCGUCAGAACUUCACGCAAACACUGGCCAAUCUCCAAAAGGAGAACAAAACUCUCAAGACUGAAAUCGGCCAACGUUCUAACCAAGUCUCGCAGCAACAAGAGCAACUGGCCAUCCUGGAGAAACAUUUCCAGGUGCAAAUUGAAGAGCUGAAGCAGAAACACCGGCACGAGGUAUGCCUAGCUGAGGAAGACCGUGCCUCAACGGAACUGGCCCUCUUGGAGACUGCUACGGAGAGCCAACAGAAGCUGAAGGAUCUGCUCGUGGAUGUGGACGCCAUGAAGGAGCAGCAUGAGAGUCACGUGAAAAAACUCCAAGAAGACUUUGAGCAAAGAAUCUGUCAGCUCCAAUCGAUCUACGAAGGCGAGAUUGUCAAGUUGCAUUCCCGACACCAGGAAGGGAUUCGGAAUAGCCAAGAGCCACAAGUGGACGAGAGAGACUGCAAGGUGGUGUCGGCACCCAUGGAAGAGGAGGAACAAGGCAGGGAGGGGGGAGUGCAGACCAUGUCUGAGGGGGACACAAUGGUGCUUCUCAAAGACAGGAUUCAGGAACUGGAGACUCAGAUGAACAGCAUGAGGGACGAACUGGAGAACAAGCACCUCGAAGGAGAUGUGACCAGCCUGAGGGAAAAAUACCAAAGAGACUUUGAAAGUCUUAAGGCCACAUGCGAGCGUGGCUUUGCAGCAAUGGAGGAAACCCAUCACAAGGUGGUUGAAGACCUCCAAAGGCACCACCAGAGGGAGAUUUCCAAACUUAUGGAGGAGCGAGAGAGGCUCCUCGCCGAGGAAACUGCUGCUACUAUUGCUGCUAUCGAAGCUAUGAAGAAUGCCCACAAAGAGGAACUGGAGAAGAACCAGCGCUCCCAGCUCAGCGGCCUGAACUCUGACAUUGAUGAACUUCGAUUACAAUACGAGGAGGAGCUGCAGUCCAUCCAGAGGGAGCUGGAGGUUCUGUCCGAGCAGUAUUCUCAGAAAUGUCUGGAAAACGCCCACCUGGCUCAGGCCCUGGAGGCCGAGAGGCAGGCCCUCAGGCAGUGUCAGCGGGAGAACCAGGAGCUCAACACUCACAACCAGGAACUGAAUAACCGUCUGAGCGCGGAGAUCACACGGAUGCGCUCAUGUUUCAGCGGGGAGGCGGCGCUGUCGCCUGUUACGCAAGGCAAAGACGUCUACGAACUGGAGGUGUUGCUUCGAAUCAAGGAGUCGGAGAUUCAGUAUCUUAAACAAGAAAUCCAUUCUUUGAAGGAUGAGCUGCAGUCGGCUCUGCGGGACAAGAAAUACGCCACGGACAAAUAUAAAGACAUCUACACGGAGCUGAGCAUCGUGAAAGCGAAGGCCGACUGCGAUAUCGGCAAACUGAAGGAGAAGCUGCUCAUUGCCACGGAAGCGUUGGGCGAGAGGACCGUCGACGGGACGGUCACGUCUGGAUAUGACAUCAUGAAAUCCAAAAGUAACCCCGACUUCACGAAAAAAGAACUAGCACCGACCUCCAAGCCUUCCAGAGGUGUCAGGUCAAAGUCUGUCACUGAACAGGUCUCGCGGGACAGCUGACCCUUCCCGUGUGGGUCUUAGGCCCUCCCCCCAAAACCCGCCUCGACUUUCGCCGUAGAGCCUAAAAGAGGGACUGACUGUGCAAGAGCGCAUGAAGCUGUUUGAGGGAAAAGAUUCCAAAAAGAUCUAAAUGUCAAGAGCCCCGACACUGCUCUUCUCUUUACCGGCCUUUGCGAUUCAUUGUAUUUUUUAAAAUUGUUAUUUUAUAUUUUUGCUGCGAUUACUCACGCAUCAUAGGAACUGUCCGUUUUGAACACAAGACCGUCCGUCGGCUUCGACGCAUCGCAAGUUUUUUUUUCUUUUUUUUUUUUUUUUGCAUGUUCAAUUCACGGGGACGGUUUUACGGACUGAAGAUAAGUUUCAUUUAAAAAAAAAAAAAAAAAAGUGGAAAAAGAAAGAAAUGUAUUUAAUGCUGUUGAAAUUGGAGACGUGAAAUAAGCUGAGACAUGACAGCGUUUUUUUUUAUUUUCCCAAAUGCCAAAUAGACAACAUAUAUACAGUCUGAAUAAUAUAUAUACACCUGUAUAGUAUAUGUAUUUCCUGACAUGAAGUAUUUCUGCUGUAUUUUAUUGUUACAAUUUCUAUAUCGAAAUGAUUUUAAUGUUUUUGUGUACAUAACUACUGGACGUAGAGUGUGUCAGCGCAUGGUUUGUCGACGUGUUGGUGCAUCUGCUGUACUAUAAACUAGUUUGAUGAUGCUUACAUGAGAUUUUUUUGUGUUUUUUAAUUGUACUUUUUUCUUUUUUUUUUUUUUUUUAGUAAAUUGUGUGAUGGGGGAGGGAAAGGUUGGGAUUGCACUUAUAACUUGACUACUUGAGGAACUUUUUUUUUUCAGUUUGUUUUUCUCCUCCAAUCGAUGUGAUUUUCGAUGAUUGCAGUGCACCCGAACGCGUCGAUUGGCCGAUGACUUCAAUUUGGCCUUUGUCUUCAUUUCAAUUUAGCGCGGAAAAAAAAAAAAAUAAUUCCCGUUCGGGCUUUGCAUGAUUCUGUGGCCUCUUUUUCCCCAUUUCGACGCCUCGGCCUCGAUCAGCUUUGCCUCGCGAGUCCUACUGUUUCAACCGUUACUGUGAGCGGCGGUUUCUCCCCGAAGUGGUUGGCCCUGACCUUUGACCCCCCCUGACCUCUCGCUUCCAGUUCUAGUUGUGCCACAACCCAGUGAAGAGAACAAAGCACUUGUAAUAAAAUCAAAUUUAAAAAAAACGAAAAAAAAAUAGUCAAAAACAAAACUGUGCAGCUAAGGAAACACACUGUAUAGUAUUCAAAAUGCUUUGGAAAUGUACAUAAAUACAUAAAUAUAUAUGUGCCACAUGGAACACUUGUGCUUUUGGUUAAACUUUGCUCGUUAGCUCCUCAAAUAUAUUGGAAUAUUUUUUAUUUUAAUUUGAAUGUAUCAAAUGAAAUAAAUGU